rfam:Pteropus alecto contig46870, whole genome shotgun sequence.
GUGCUCACUUCAGCAGCACACAUACUAAAACUGGAGUAAUACAGAGAAGAUUAGCGUGACCCCUAUGCAAGGACAAUGUGCAAAUUCAUGAAGCGUUCCAUGUUUUU